rnacentral:rRNA from 1 species
CGCAGCCGCGGUAAUUCCAGCUCCAAUAGCGUAUAUUAAAGUUGUUGCAGUUAAAAAGCUCGUAGUUGAAUUUCGGGGUUCUACCGUUGGUCGGGCUAACCAGUCUGUACUAGCGUGUAAAAUUCCUACCUUCUGGAGAACCAUCAUGUUAUUAAUUUAGCGUGGUGGGAAACCAGGACCUUUACCUUGAAAAAAUUAGAGUGUUCAAAGCAGGCUUACGUCUGAAUACAUUAGCAUGGAAUAAUAGAAUAGGACGGUGGUCCUGUUUUGUUGGUUUCUGAAUCACCGUAAUGAUUAAUAGGGAUAGUUGGGGGCAUUAGUAUUCAAUUGUCAGAGGUGAAAUUCUUGGAUUUAUUGAAGACUAAACUUCUGCGAAAGCAAUUUGCCAAGGAUGUUUUCAUUAAUCAAGAACGAAAGUUAGGGGAUCGAAGACGAUCAGAUACCGUCGUAGUCUUAACCAUAAACUAUGCCGACUAGGGAUCGGACGAUGUUAAAUUUAAUGACUCAUUCGGCGCCUUAA